GACGUACCACCCAAACGUUAUUCGGAUUCACUGGGCUUACAGAGUCCGUAGGCGGUCGAGAAAGUUGGAUGUGAAAUACCUCAGCUCAACUGAGGAAUUGCGUUCAAAACUACUUGGCUAGAGAGAUACAGAGGUGAGCGGAACUGAUGGUGGAGCGGUGAAAUGCGUUGAUAUCAUCAGGAACACCGGCGGCGAAAGCGGCUCACAGGGUAUCUUCUGACGCUGAGGGACGAAAGCUAGGGGAGCGAACGGG
rnacentral:rRNA from 1 species